AUUGAACGCUGGCGGCAGGCCUAACACAUGCAAGUCGAGCGGUAGAGAGAAGCUUGCUUCCCUUGAGAGCGGCGGACGGGUGCGUAAUGCCUAGGAAUCUGUCUGGUAGUGGGGGAUAACGUCCGGAAACGGACGCUAAUACCGCAAACGUCCUACGGGAGCAAGCAGGGGCCUUUCGGGCCUUGCGCUAUCAGAUGAGCCUAGGUCGGAUUAGCUAGUUGGUGAGGUAAUGGCUCACCAAGGCGACGAACCGUAACUGGUCUGGGAGGAGGAUCAGUCACACUGGAACUGAGACAAGAUCCAGACUCCUACGGGAGGCAGCAGUGGGGAAUAUUAGACAAUGGGCGAAGGCCUGAUCCAGCCAUGCCGCGUGUGUGAAGAAGGUCUUCGGAUUGUAAAGCUCUUUAAGUUGGGAGGAAGGGCAGUAAGCUAAUACCUUGCUGUUUUGACGUUACCGACAGAAUAAGCACCGGCUAACUCUGUGCCAGCAGCCGCGGUAACAC
rnacentral:rRNA from 1 species